rnacentral:rRNA from 1 species
GCAUAUCAAUAAGCGGAGGAAAAAGAAAACCAACCGGGAUUGCCUUAGUAACGGCGAGUGAAGCGGCAAAAGCUCAAAUUUGAAAUCUGGCUCUGAUUCAGGGUCCGAAUUGUAAUUUGAAGAAGCGACUUUGGGCCUGGCUCUUGUCUAUGUUCCUUGGAACAGGACGUCACAGAGGGUGAGAAUCCCGUGCGAUGAGAAGCCCAGGUUCGUGUAAAGCGUUUUCGACGAGUCGAGUUGUUUGGGAAUGCAGCUCUAAGUGGGUGGUAAAUUCCAUCUAAAGCUAAAUAUUGGCGAGAGACCGAUAGCGAACAAGUACAGUGAUGGAAAGAUGAAAAGAACUUUGAAAAGAGAGUGAAAAAGUACGUGAAAUUGUUGAAAGGGAAGGGCUUGAGAUCAGACUUUGUUUUUCCAUGGCGCUCUUUUGGGGGUGUCCUCUGGGUCUACAGGGCCAGCAUGGGUUUUGCGGGCGAGACAAGGACUCAGGAAUGUGGCUCUGCUUCGGUGGAGUGUUAUAGCCUGGGGUACUGGUCGCCAUGCGGGACCGAGGACUGCGGUACUAGGAUGCUGGCAUAAUGAUCUUAAGCCGCCCGUCUUGAAACACGGACCAAGGAGUCUAACGUCUAUGCGAGUGUUUGGGUGUAAAACCCGUACGCGGAAUGAAAGUGAACGUAGGUGAGAGCCCGCAAGGGCGCAUCAUCGACCGAUCCUGAUGUCUUCGGAUGGAUUUGAGUAAGAGCAUAGCUGUUGGGACCCGAAAGAUGGUGAACUAUGCCUGAAUAGGGUGAAGCCAGAGGAAACUCUGGUGGAGGCUCGUAGCGGUUCUGACGUGCAAAUCGAUCGUCGAAUUUGGGUAUAGGGGCGAAAGACUAAUCGAACCAUCUAGUAGCUGGUUCCUGCC